rnacentral:misc_RNA from 1 species
GAUGAAGAACGUAGCGAAAUGCGAUAAGUAAUGCGAAUUGCAGAAUUCAGUGAGUCAUCGAAUCUUUGAACGCACAUUGCGCCCUGUGGUAUUCCGCAGGGCAUGCCUGUUCGAGCGUCAUUUCAACCCUCAAGCCUCGCUUGGUGUUGGGCCCUGCCCGCCGCGGCCGGCCCUAAAGAUAGUGGCGGCGCCGCCUGGCCCUCAGCGUAGUACAGCUCUCGCUCCAGGGUCCGGCGGCAGCCUGCCAGAACCCCCCAACUCUGUGGUUGACCUCGGAUCAGGUAGGGAUACCCGCUGAACUUAAGCAUAUCAAUAAGCGGAGGA